rnacentral:rRNA from 1 species
AGUGAACGCUGGCGGCAGGCCUAAUACAUGCAAGUCGAACGGAAGCACAAUAAGAGCUUGCUUCUACGGGUGGCGAGUGGCGGACGGGUGAGGAAUAGAUCGGAUUCUACUUAUUCUGGGGGGACAACGGGGGGAAACUGACGCUAAUACCGAAUAUGAUCUACGGGUGAAAGCAGGGGAUCUACGGGGCUUUCGCGACAGAUUUAGCCGGAGUCGGAUUAGCUAGUUGGCGGGGUAAAGGAACACCAAGGCGACGAUCCGUAGCAGAGCUGAGAGGAUGAUCGGCCACACUGGAACUGAGACACGGUCCAGACUCCUACGGGAGGCAGCAGUGGGGAAUCUUCGGCAAUGGGCGCAAGCCUGAUCGAGCCAUACCGCGUGAGUGAAGAAGGCCUUCGGAUCGUAAAGCCCUUUUGUUAGGAAAGAAAAGCUGCGUAAUAAUACCCCGCUGUCCUGACGGUACCCAAACAGAAAGCACCGGCUAACUACGUG